rnacentral:snRNA from 1 species
UUUUUGAUUCUGAAUCAGAC